rnacentral:lncRNA from 1 species
GUUUAAUUGAUGGAUAUUUCGUUAGGUUGUAGUCUGCAGCUCUUAGAAACUGUAAAUUAGUAAGUCAAACUGCUUUCCAUUUCUCUGACUUAGCUUUCUUCAGGACAGAAGUUUGUGGCACAGGCUGGUCCUAAGUAGAUUGACCUUAUCUACCACACAAAUCGUGAAGUGGCCUGGAAAACCAUCCUGACCUUAGCACUCAAUGAUGGACACCCACUACCUG